GGUGCUGUGGCUUAGUUGGUCAAAGUGCCUGUCUAGUAAACAGGAGAUCCUGGGUUCAAAUCCCAGCAGUGCCU
rfam:Danio rerio chromosome 12, GRCz11 reference primary assembly.